rfam:Heligmosomoides polygyrus genome assembly, scaffold: HPBE_scaffold0005270
GCGCCGGUGAUGUAAUGGUGUAGAGCAUUCCCGGCUGGUUAGAGGGAGGUGCGGGUUCGAGUCCCGCCUGGCGCU